ensembl:lncRNA
AUGAGCAAGAGAGGAAGAAAGAGAACCACUUUCCCCGGCUUGCUGGUUGGGAACAGGUGGUAACCUCCUUGCUUCUUCUGUCCCCACAGCCUACUGCACCCCUGAGAAGAGAGCUUCCCCUCAAGCCCCUCAGCUCCGACUUCCCAGCCUGACAACUGUUCAGGGGAGCUCUUGCGAUGCUGCACAGGGGGCGACCAGAUUCUCAGGGCCCAAACCAGCUGCCAGGCAAGCCUCUCUCUGUUGGCUCUUCUCCGAGCUCCUGGACACUGGCAGGAUCCUUAUGACCAUCAUCUCAGACAGAAGAACAACAAGUCCGGAGCAGGGUUGCUGGGAUGAGAUUGAAGCAUGA